AAUUAUCUUCAGGGCAGGGUGCAAAUCCCUACCGGCGGUAAAGCCCGCGAGCCGUAAGGCAUGAUUCGGUGAAACUCCGAGGCCGACAGUAAAGUCUGGAUGAAAGAAGGUAGAA
rnacentral:ncRNA from 1 species